rnacentral:rRNA from 1 species
AUUGAACGCUGGCGGCAGGCCUAACACUUGCAAGUCGAGCGGAGCGGCGGACGGGUGAGUAAUGCCUAGGAAUCUGCCCGGUAGUGGGGGAUAACGUCCGGAAAAGGGAGCUAAUACCGCAUACUAUCAGAUCAGACUAUGUCGGAUUAGCUAGUUGGUGGGGUAAAGGCCUACCAAGGCGACGAUCCGUACCUGGUCUGAGAGGAUGAUCAGUCACACUGGAACUGAGACACGGUCCAGACUCCUACGGGAGGCAGCAGUGGGGAAUAUUGGACAAUGGGCGAAAGCCUGAUCCAGCCAUGCCGCGUGUGUGAAGAAGGUCUUCGGAUUGUAAAGCACUUUAAGUUGGGAGGCGUUACCAACAGAAUAAGCACCGGCUAACUUCGUGCCAGCAGCCGCGGUAAUUC